rnacentral:tRNA from 1 species
AGCAGGGUGAUGCAGCGGCAGCAAUUCAGUCUCAUAAACUGAAAGUCGGCGGUUCGAAUCCGUCCCCUGCAA